rnacentral:misc_RNA from 1 species
GGCGUGUUCAGAAGAACGCGCC